GUGGGGAAUCUUAGACAAUGGGCGCAAGCCUGAUCUAGCCAUGCCGCGUGAGCGAUGAAGGCCUUAGGGUUGUAAAGCUCUUUCGUGGGGGAAGAUAAUGACUGUACCCCAAGAAGAAGCCCCGGCUAACUCCGUGCCAGCAGCCGCGGUAAUACGGAGGGGGCUAGCGUUGUUCGGAAUUACUGGGCGUAAAGCGCACGUAGGCGGACCAGAAAGUCAGAGGUGAAAGCCCGGGGCUCAACCCCGGAACUGCCUUUGAAACUCCUGGUCUUGAGGUCGAGAGAGGUGGGUGGAAUUCCGAGUGUAGAGGUGAAAUUCGUAGAUAUUCGGAGGAACACCAGUGGCGAAGGCGGCCCACUGGCUCGAUACUGACGCUGAGGUGCGAAAGCGUGGGGAGCAAACAGGAUUAGAAACCCGUGUAGUCC
rnacentral:rRNA from 1 species